rnacentral:lncRNA from 1 species
UGUCCCUGAGGUGCCACAACGCGUCCCUGAGGUGCCACCACGCGUCCCUCAUGUGCCACCACGGGUCCCCGAGGUGCCACAACGCGUCCCUGAGGUGCCACAACGCAUCCCUGAGGUGCCACCGCGCGUCCCUGAGGUGCCACCACCAGCCCCUGAGGUUGUCAUCGUGCCUCGACCCACGCUGGGGCUGCUGGGACCCCUCCCCACGCCGCCCGGCCCGGAGGGUCCGGCACCAGCCGCCGGCAGCGUGUGCGAGCGGAACCCGCGGAUCUGCGGCCCCGGGCGCUGCGUCCCGCGCCAGGGCGGCUACACCUGCCUCUGCCACCCCGGCUUCUGGCUCAGCACCCAGGGCACCCACUGCAUCGGUGAGCGGCGCCCGGCCUCUCCCUGGGCACCCAUUUCCCCGUGCACCCACCUCCCCCUGCACCCACCCACCUCCCCAUGCACCCACCCAUUUCCCCGUGCACCCACCUCCCCGUGCACCCACCUCCCCGUGCACCCAUUUCCCCAUGCACCCACCUCCC